UCCUGGCUGGCUCAGUUGGUAAAGCAUGUGACUCUUGUUCUCAGGGCCAUGAGUUCAAGUUUCAUGUUAGGCG
rnacentral:tRNA from 1 species